CCAAAGUAAGCCCAUAAAAUUGUUAAGUAAAAAGACUCAAAACUAUAGACUAGUUUUUUCGAAUUGGGGGGUUCAUCACGAUUUGGGCCAGUGAUGCAAAUCCUAUUUCUUUUUUUAAAAUAAAACAAUUUGGGGCUUCAGCCCAUUUUCCUCUGACCCUACUCCUCCCCCUUUCUCUCAGGUGUUCUCCCUCUCUCACACUACUCGAUCUCUCUCUGCCUCUCUUACACUCAUCUCUGUCGACCUCCUCUUCUCUCUCACACUCGAUAUCUCCAUCUUUCUCUCUGUAUGAGACAUUGACGGCGACACAGAGGUCUUGGCGACGACGACUUAGGCGCAAACGAGGGUGAUAGGUGGUGGGGAUUGCAGCGAGUUUGGGGGGCUCGACAUCAAUGGACAUAUACAUACUUUGAUGAGGCCCAUAGUAUUGGAGCAGUAGGGAAGUCUCGAAGAGGUGUUUGUGAGCUCUUGGGUGUGGAUCCAAAUGAUGUAGAUGUCAUGAUGAGAACUUUUACAAAAUCAUUAGAUUGAUUAUUAAAUUUCCUAGUUUUGUAUUAUAAAUGUGAUAAGAUUGAAUAUUCAUCUUUGUUCCUAAAUUUGUUUUUUUAGGUUUGUAACUAUAUCAUUGGAUGAUGUAUAAGUUUGGUUAUUUUAAUCUAUAAGUUUUCAGAUUUGUAUAUAAA